GCCCGCCUAGCUCAAUCGGAUAGAGCGUCAGACUCUUACAUAGGCGGGACGAUCUGAAGGCUGCGAGUUCGACCCUCGCGGUGGGCU